UUUGUUUAUAUAUUGAUAAUGACAGUAUAUAUAUCGUGUCUUGACUAAUUGCGUGCCAGCAGUCGCGGUAAUACGUAAGAGACUAGUGUUAUUCAUCUUAAUUAGGUUUAAAGGGUACCCAGACGGUCAAUAUAGCUUAUAAAAUGUUAGUACUUGACUAGAGUUUUAUGUAAGAGGGCAGUACUUGAGGAGGAGAGAUGAAAUUUCGUGAUACCAAAGGGACUCUGUAAAGGCGAAGGCAGCCCUCUAUGUAAAAACUGACGUUGAAGGACGAAGGCACAGAGAACAAACAGGAUUAGAUACCCAAGUAGUCUUUGCAGUAAAUGAUGAAUGCCAUAGGUUAGAUUGGUCAAUUAUAGUCUAGGGUUAGUCUAGCAAACUAAUACCUAUACUAUUAUACCUAAUAUCUGGUCUAUAAAUGAAAGUGUAAGCAUUUCACCUCAAGAGUAAUGUGGCAACGCAGGAACUGAAAUCACUAGACCGUUUCUGACACCAG
rnacentral:rRNA from 1 species